rnacentral:rRNA from 1 species
AUUCCGGUUGAUCCUGCCGGAAGCCAUUGCUAUUGGGAUCCGAUUUAGCCAUGCUAGUCGCACGAGUUCAGACUCGUGGCGAAUAGCUCAGUAACACGUGGCCAAACUACCCUUCGGAACACAAUACCCUCGGGAAACUGAGGCUAAUAGUGUAUACCAUACCACCACUGGAAUGAGUGGUAUGCCAAACGCUCCGGCGCCGAAGGAUGUGGCUGCGGCCGAUUAGGUAGACGGUGGGGUAACGGCCCACCGUGCCAAUAAUCGGUAUGGGUCAUGAGAGUGAGAACCCAGAGACGGAAUCUGAGACAAGAUUCCGGGCCCUACGGGGCGCAGCAGGCGCGAAACCUUUACACUGCACGACAGUGCGAUAGGGGGAUCCCAAGUGCACAGGCAUAGCGCCUGCGCUUUUCGGUACCGUAAGGUGGUACCAGAAUAAGGGCUGGGCAAGACCGGUGCCAGCCGCCGCGGUAAUACCGGCAGCCCAAGUGAUGGCCGAUCUUAUUGGGCCUAAAGCGUCCGUAGCUACUUUCC